rnacentral:miRNA from 1 species
UAGACAUUCUGAUACUCCAUUGUU